GGUGAGAUGGCCGAGUGGUUAUGGCGCUGCGUUCAGGUCUACCUGAAUCCUAGUAGGAUCCUAUCUAUAGGGUAUAAAAAUUUCGCAGUGGAGCAAUCCGCGUGGGUUCGAGUCCCACUCUCAUCA